GUCGCUGUGGCCGAGUGGUUAAGGCGUGUGCCUUCUAUGUACAUGGUGUUUUCGCGCGAUAGUUCGAAUCUCUCAUGCGACA